UAGAGUUCCAUUUUGAACAAUUGUGAAGUUGUACUUAUACCCGUCGAGAACUAGGAGUUUGUGCCGUUAGCACUUGCAUUGUUUAGGCGGGCUCCAUUUGCUGCCUUCAUCUUAUUUCAAUAGAAAUAAGAAGGAGAGUAGAAAUAAGAAACCGGCACGGUUUGUGCCAAGGACAGUUGUUGUUGGAGUGCAUUGCCAUCAUUUUGGUGUGCUUUGUGUUAUUCUAGUGAGUGUGUAAAUGACUCCUGGCAAUGGAUAUCUUGGCUCUCGUGUCGAUGAAGAACGUAGCGAAAUGCGACACUUGGUGUGAAUUGCAGAAUCCCGUGAACCAUCGAGUCUUUGAAUGCAAGUUGCGCUCGAGGCCUAGGUUGAGAGCACGUCUGUUUGGGCGUCAUGCCUUGCGUCAUUCUAACCACCCACCUAUGAUAAGCAUAUUGUAAGUGGUGGUAGAUGUGGAAAUUGACCCUCCGUGCUUUAAUUAUGCGGUUGGUUCAAGUGAAUGUAGUUGCUAGGUCUACGCGCGGUGAAUGGUGUAUCGAGUCAGCACACGAUGUCUAUAACCGCGCCUAUGGGUCCUAGGCAUGAUGUAACAUUAACUAAAACCAAUUUCGAUGUUUGCCACAAUCGCAAGGUCGAACC
rnacentral:misc_RNA from 1 species